UUUAGGAAGAUUUUGCAAUAGCUACCAUAAAAUAGUAGCCACUAUAACAAAACGAAUUUCAGUCUUUUAUUUACGUUGACUCACGAGAACAGUUGAUUAUGCUAACUUUUUAAUUUUUAAUUAAAAUUAAUUUUUCAAUAAAAAUACCCACUUUCUCAUCCACGUUCCUGUGAAGCGGUUUCUCUCCGUGAAACAAAAAAAUGAACAAAAUUUCUGAAACUUCAAAUCCAAAUUGAUGUUCUUGUUGAUCUUCAUAAUCAUGGAGUUUGGUAAAAUUUCUGAAACCUCAAUUCAAAAUCGAUCGCUCCGGCUACAUAAAAUUCCACUCAGUUGAACAACGCCCACCACCUGUUGGACAAAAUGACUGCAUUUGCUGUUUCUAAUCAAUCCAACGACAAAGGAGAACAAAAAAUUCAAUUUCCAGACAACCGACAAGGGAAUUCUCGUCCUGGUUACAUAUCAUGUGUGGACUUGGGAUAUGAUUCAGUUAAGGAUGAUUUUAAGGUCUAUCCCGGAGCAUGGACUGCCAUUAUGGUUUCACUUGACAUUUCCGGCAUUUUGAAUAUAUGAGCUGAAAACUUGCACUCUUGGUAUCGGGGAAAGGAGGUUUAUUUAAGUGUUCUGAAUUAUGUAAAGGACAGUUCAGAGGUUCGUUUGCCAGAUAACACAAUCUGUUGCGGCUUACUAUCAUCAUAACAAAGGAACUCUCCUCCACCAACUGAAGUCCAUGAAUGCUAUGUGAUCCAUGAAGCUUGUAGUUAAUAAAUUGUAUUUUUGUUUACAUGUCAACUCCACUUUUUUUGGAGUAGUUGUAUAUACGGAGUAAAUAGAUAGGGGUGUCAAAUCGGGUCAUCGGUUCGGUUUCGAUUCGGGUUGAAACCGGUUCAUUUUGCUAUCGUUCGGUUCAGUUCGGGUCGGGUUGAAAAAUUAACGGUUCGGUUCAGGUUCGGGUUAUGUGGCACGGGUUUAUAUCCGGUCGGGUUCAUGUCGGAUCGGGUUUGUAUCGGGUCUGGUCAUAAACGGGUUAAGUCGGAUUCAUAUUGGUUCGGGUUAGAAUCGGGUCGGGGUUCAUAUCGGGUCGAGUCAGAUCAGGUCGGAUUGUAGUUGAGUCGGGUCAAUUUGGUUCGGUUUGUUAACGGGGUUAGCCAGAUUGUAAUCAGGUCGGGUUCAUAUCGGGUCGGGCUCAUGUUUAGUCAGAUCAAUUCGGAUACACUACAAACAAUGUCGAGUUAUUAUUAAAAUCACAAUUUUCAA